rnacentral:lncRNA from 1 species
CGCUAUUGUAUUUGUUAUAUUAAUAAAAUAUAUUUUCAAAAUAAAUUCCCGAUUUGUUCUUCAUCUAUUGAGGAUAUCUUUGAUAUCCGAACUUCGGAGCUUGGAGACGUUAUAUUUCGUGAUGCAGAUGUAGAAGAAGGACGUAGAAUUGAAAAGUAUCUUGAAAAUGGUUGUUCCUGUUCUCUAGGACCAUUGGAUCCAUUAUGAAACAAAACUUCCUGUUUUAAUUGGUUUGAUUUUGAAUAUGUUUUUUUUUCGGUGAGAUCAAUGCCUAGAAAUGUCUUCUAUUUCUCCAUUUAGUCCUGAAGCCUAUAUAUUUUGACAUUUUGGUACCCUGGAAAGGGAAGAUCAAAAGAUUAAAUUCAAAAUAAGUGGAUGGCGAGUUCAGGGACUUAACACUCAUUAUUUAAAAAAUGGGUUAACUCAUAAGUAACAUAAGUUAAGUGGAAAUCCAUCUAAUAACCCGUACAAUCGAAAUAUUAAUUAAAGAAAAUAAGUGGGAAGAGUUGCAUCUCAUUAUGACCUGAAAGCAAUUCGUUUCCCAAGUCAUUAGAAUAGAGAAGUUGUAUAUCAUAAGUAUAACGAAUUAUGUUCUCAUCAAGGAUACAAAUACAAUAAAUAUUGCAGUAUAUCCCGCUUUUAUUCGUCAUUGGAAUACUGUGUCUCCCGAAUUGGGUAUUAUGGGACGGGGAAGCAAUGUUUUCCAUAUUUGUUAUGAUCAUUCUCAAGAAUUGCCCUCAUUAAUCAGAGAAUCUAUG